rnacentral:rRNA from 1 species
CGUGUAGGCGGCCAAACAGGUCCGUUGUGAAAACUGGAGGCUUAACCUCCAGACGUCGACGGAAACCGUAUGGCUAGAGUCCGGAAGAGGAGAGUGGAAUUCCUGGUGUAGCGGUGAAAUGCGCAGAUAUCAGGAAGAACACCUAUGGCGAAGGCAGCUCUCUGGGACGGUACUGACGCUGAGACGCGAAAGCGUGGGAGCGAACA